rnacentral:lncRNA from 1 species
AUGCUUUAGUUAAGGAGUUAUUGAUACUUUAAGUGCAAAAUGAUGAUAUAAAACCUUGAUAAAUAUGCACUUUUAAGUACUAAUCAGUGGGCGGAUGUCCAACAUGGGUGCAUGUAGUCAUUUGGCUCGGGUGCGCACCCCAAGCCCAACAUGCUUGGGUUCAAACAACAUGUCUAGACCCAUUCUUCAUCUUUAAAGGGCCCGAACACCUUACUUGAGCCUAACACUCCAUUGAGGUUUUUUUAGGGCUUCACGCAUGUUCCUCAAUAUUUUUCACUAAUUCUAUAUGUAUUAUUUUGAGUAUAAUAUAACUUAAAAUAUCACAAUGAUGAAAUCACACUUCAACCCCUUCUCUCAGCAAAAAACAAGACUUUUAGGUUAUAAAUACACCAUGAAUCCUUCAAACUCAAGUUGAAUAAUCUCUUUAUUCUUAACAACUUUUAGCAUGUAUAUUUUUAGAGUUUGUCUCUCUAAAAUAUCACCGCACUUUCUCUCCUUACAAAGUUACUAACUUAACCUAGAGGUGAACAAAAAAAAAGAAAAAGAAAAACCAAUUAAACUAAGACAACCGAAAAAAAUAUAAAAAAACUGAACUAUGAAAAAAAAUAAUUACACCGAUUAAAAGAAUUAAAAAACAUUUCGGUUCAAUCUAGUGUUAGUUUUAAAAGGUUGAAAUAGAAUAAACCGGAUCGAACCAAAUUAAACUAAACCGUUUCAAAUAGAAAUAAAAAAACUAGUGGUACUAUAUAUAGCUUUCUAGACCUAUCUAUUUUUUUGAUUUAUUCUUCAAAUCCUAGCAAACCCUUCUAACCAAACCAGAAAUGCUCAACCCUAACUUAAUCAUCAGAGAGUCUUUUUUUUGCAAAUAUCAAUUACCAGCUACCUUAACUUACAAUGUAUCACCUUGCUACUAGCUUUCAACCACCUAGGCUUUCCAUAUUAAGUUAUAAAACAUCUUGGUUAGGAAAAAUUAAUCAUAUUGCUUAAACCAAAAGAUUAAUCAAUUAUCUAAAACAUCAACUUUAUUCCUAAGUAUAUUAAAUUUUAGAACUUAUAACUUUUUGAUGAUUUUGACGCACUAAUAACAAAAAUAAAUAAAAAUCUAAAAAAAUUAUUUUAAUAUAUUUUUAAAUAAAAAACUUUUAAAAAACAUCAUGUAUCACGAUAUCAAAUACACAUUUAAUCUUAUCUAUGCAUCGAUUAGACAAUCAUAGAUAAACAUUUACGAAUCAUUACCAUAAAAAAUAAAGUUUAAUCAAUUUAAGAUAUAUGCUCAUUGGUCACAGCUUAUAGCACAAGGAUGUCUCUGUAGAUCUUUCAAAGAUUCGCUUAGUGACCAAAGACGGAAGUGAAUAAUUCUUAUUUUGUGGUUUUAAUUCAACCCUCUUUAGAUUUGAGAGAUUUAUCUGUAAAUUAUAUAAUUUAUAUGCAAAUUAAAAUUAAUUCUAUUUUUAUACGAUUUUUUACUUCAAAUUUUAAUCUAAAAAACUAUAUGUAUAUAGCAUUAUAUUUUUGAAUGGAGUUGAUUUAAUAAUAUCACUGUAAUCCACCAUCUAGCUCCCCAAAGUGCCAAGUUUGUGCUAGAUUAUGUUUAAUCAUUUAAGUAAAAAAAUUACUUGAACUCCUAGCGCCAUUUUUUUUAUUUACAAAAAAGUAUAAAAUUUUUAAAAAUAUUAAAUUACUUGUUUGUAUUUUAAAAUUAUUUUUAAAUAAUUUGAAUUUUAUUUUAUUUAUUUUAAAUUAAUUUUUUUUUAUGUUUGUGUAUUGUUUUGAUAUUAUGGGUGUGUUUGGUAUUGUGGUUGCUGUUUUGGUUGUGGUUUUAAAAAAAUUGUUUUAUAAAAAGUAUUUUUAGUUGAGGUUGGUUUGAAAAAAUAUAUGUUUGGUUAAAACUGUGGUUAAAAUUGAGGUUGAACAAAAAAUAAUUUAAUGUAUUUGGUUAAAAAAAUGCUUUUCAAAUUGAGGUUAUAAAAUAAUUAAAAAAUACUUUUAAUUUAAAUAUUGUAGAUUUAACUACCGUUAUUACAUCAUGAAAUAAAUAACUAUAUUUUUCAUGAUUUCUUAAGCACAUAACAAUAAAAACUGAAUUUUUUGUUACGUCAUCAAGUGAUCUCCUUCUAAUUUUUUUUGAAUAAAACAGAAUUAAAAUAAAAAUAAAAACUGAAUUUUUUUUAACUGGGUCUGACAUGGCAAGAACAUAAUUGGAAUUGCAAUAAAAUUUCACAAAUGCUACGUCAUCAUGCUAUAUCCUUCUAAUUUAUGUAGUGUUAUUAAAUAAUAUUAAAUACUAGUUUUUCAACUAAAACUCAAUUUGUUUUUUUUUUUUUAAAAAUUACAAUUUCAUUAUGUACAAAAUUUAUUCAACAAAAACUAUAGUUUUCAUGAUUUUUUGAGCAUGCAAUAAAAUUAGAUAAAAUAUUAUCAGGAAUAAAAUUGAGAUUAUAGUAUGAAUAAAUUUAAUUCACCUUAAACUAAUUUUAAAAAACAAAAAAAAUAUUUUUUCAUGUUUACAUGAAUAGUGCGUGUGAAAUCACUAAUUUUUUUUAAUUACACUGAUUUUUCAGAAAAAAAAAUAAACUUUUCUUGGUUUUUUAGAAAAAUAAAAAUAAAAUAAAACUCCGAUUUAAGUUUAGGGAAUUCCAGCUUUUUACCUCCGUUUCAAUUUAAAUUUGAGUGGGCCCUAUUAAUAAAAAGCAGGUUCUAUUUCCUAACCAAACAAAAAUAUACGUGGCUGCGGGUGAACCUCACCCGCAGCCAUGUCACGAAACUGCCUCUAUGAAUAAUUAAUAUAACGUAUUCCACCCUCCCAUAUUUAAUAAUUAAUAAAAGCAAACGACCCAGGAAUCAAAAUUCAAAGACUUCAAUAUAUCUUCACGUCAGUCAAGGUCGUCUGCCUUCUCAUAAACCACACCCCUCUCCCCUCUUCUCCUUCCUCCUCCUUCUCCAGCUCGCCCUUCUCAACUCCCAAGGAAUCACACCAUAGCGAAGAUGGGUUUCCAUUUCACUUCGCUGCUUCUCACCCUACUCUUAUUCUCCACGCUCCACUCAAGAUCUUCUUCCCAGACCUUCAAAUGUAGCACCCCCACCACGUGUCAUUCCCUCAUUGACUACAUCUCUCCAAACGCGACAACUUUCUCCCACAUCAAAACCCUCUUCUCCGUCAAGAACAUACACUCCAUCUUAGCUGCCAACAACCUCCCUCUCUCCACGUUACCAAACUCUACCAUACCUGCAAACCAGCCCAUCAAAAUCUCAUUUCCUUGCCUGUGCAUCAACAACACUGGUCACUCAAACAAGCAACCAAUCUACACCGUUCAAAAGGAUGAUGGGCUUUCUCAUAUUGCAACAGAAGUUUUCUCAGGAUUGGUAACAUACCAAGAAAUUGCUGCUGUUAAUAAUAUACCAGACGUUAAUCUGAUAAAGGUUGGGCAGAAGUUGUGGAUUCCUUUACCUUGUAGUUGUGAUGAUGUUGAUGGGGUCAAAGUUGUCCAUUAUGGACACGUGGUGGAAGCUGGCAGUUCUUUGGAGUUGAUUGCUCAAGAAUAUGGGACCAGUACAGAUACACUAGUGAAGCUUAAUGGGGUUAAUGACAGUUCUCUCUUAGCUGGUCAAGUUCUUGAUGUCCCUCUGCAAGGUAAGCUGAUCUAAUUUCAACCUUGGAUGCAUCAUUUGUUUUUUAUUUUUAGAUUUAAAGUGAUAAUUUCCAAUCAACUCUUAGAUGCACUUCUUUUUAACUCAGGCAAAAACAAACUAUUCAUUCUAAUUCUACUCGGAAAUAUUUGUUGUAUACCAUGUCGGCAAUGGCCGAGAGUGUAGAAAAUUAGAAAUAGUUUUUAUUUUUUUUAAUAUAAAAUAUAUUAAAAUAAUAUUUUUUAUUUUUAAAUUUUUUAUUUUUAAUAUUAUCACUUUAUAAUAAUAUAAAAUUAUAUAAAAAAACUUGAACCGUGUUCCAAAUAAUUCUAAUUUUGCUAUACGCGAUCGAAUACUUUUAUUUGCCAAACAUUUUCAGGAAUGUGCUUUCGUGCAUUUGAAUUUCAAGGUGGAGAUUGAAUGAUAGUUGUUAACAGCUCAUCCUCUGAGCAUUAUUAUUGUUUCCUGCUGUUAAGUUUCAGUCUACAUCUUGGACCGAUUAAUGUUUGUAUUAUGACUAAAUUAUUGAGUGCUAUAAAAUUCUCUGACAGUGCACUGUGCUUUCUUGGUCUUGUUUGUCUUCGAAUGUCCGUGUUACUCUUUAAUGUGCCUAUCAUGUCAAUUGACAGCUUGCAAUUCAUCGGUGAGAAGUGACUCAGUAGAUUAUCCACUACUUGUUCCUAACAACACCUAUUUCUUCACUGCUAACAAUUGUGUUAAAUGCAAGUGUGAUGCUGCAAACAACUGGACGUAAGUUUGAUGCACAAAUGGCUUUGUUGUGUUGAAAAAUUCUCUCAAGUGGGUAUCAUGAGAAUUUUUGAUUUGGAUAAUUCUUUUCUCACAUUUCCAGAUUACAAUGUGAAGCAUCUGGGAUUAAACCAUCCAACUGGUCAACUUGCCCUGCUAUGCAAUGUGAAGGUGGCUUGUUAUCCAUCGACAACUCGACAACUUCUGGUUGCAACAUCACAACCUGUGCCUAUGCCGGUUUUAGCAAGAACCAAAGCAUCUUCACAACUCUCGCCACAAGGUCCACUUGUCCAGUUACUGCAGGUAAGUACUCACAAUAACACUGCUAACUAUGUUACCAAAGUGCUGCAUGUAGUAUUCUUCGAGGGUUGGUUUAACGUGAUGAUUGGAAACUUACAAUGUUGUGUUUUUUUAUUGUGGACAAAACAGCUCCCGGCAGUUAUGCUUCAAGGACUGGUUUGAGUUGGAACUACUUGUUCAUGUCUCUUCACCUGAUUCUUCUUCUUGUGUAUCUUCUUUGAUUAGUAAGAAAUGGUGCUUCUCGAAGAAUGCUUUCUUGGGUUUAUGUAAGAAUACACUUGUAACGUGGAGAAAUUCUGUUUCUUGAUGUUGGGGCAUAUGAAUAAGAAAUUAUUUAUUU